CCUUCAUGAAGCUGGAAUUGCUAGUAAUGGCAGGUCAGCAUACUGCCGUGAAUACGUUCCCGAGCCUUGUACACACCGCCCGUCACACCAUGAGAGUUGGAAAUACCCGAAGCCUGUGAGCUAACUGUAAAGAGGCAGCAGUCGAAGGUAGAGCCAAUGAUUGGGGUGAAGUCGUAACAAGGUAAC
rnacentral:rRNA from 1 species